rnacentral:rRNA from 1 species
AUUGAACGCUGGCGGCAGGCCUAACACAUGCAAGUCGAACGGUAACAGGAAGAAGCUUGCUUCUUUGCUGACGAGUGGCGGACGUGUGAGUACUGUCUGGGAAACUGCCUGAUGGAGGGGGAUAACUACUGGCAACGGUAGCUAAUACCGCAUAACGUCGCAAGACCACAGAGGGGGACCUUCGGGCCUCCUGCCAUCGGAUGUGCCCAGAUGGGAUUAGCUAGCAGGUGGGGUAACGGCUCACCUAGGCGACGAUCCCUAGCUGGGCUGAGAGGAUGACCAGGCCCACUGGAACUGAGACACGGUCCAGACUCCUACGGGAGGCAGCAGUGGGGAAUAUUGCACAAUGGGCGCAAGGCUGAUGCAGCCAUGCCGCGUGUAUGAAGAAGGCCUUGGGGUUGGAAGGUACUUGUAGCGGGGAGGAAGUGAGUAAAGUUAAUGCCUGUACUCAUUGACGUUACCCGCAGAAGGAGCACGGGCUAACUCCGUG